GACGAACGCUGGCGGCGUGCCUAAUACAUGCAAGUAGAACGCUGAGGUUUGGUGUUUACACUAGACUGAUGAGUUGCGAACGGGUGAGUAACGCGUAGGUAACCUGCCUCAUAGCGGGGGAUAACUAUUGGAAACGAUAGCUAAUACCGCAUAAGAGUAAUUAACACAUGUUAGUUAUUUAAAAGGAGCAAUUGCUUCACUGUGAGAUGGACCUGCGUUGUAUUAGCUAGUUGGUGAGGUAAAGGCUCACCAAGGCGACGAUACAUAGCCGACCUGAGAGGGUGAUCGGCCACACUGGGACUGAGACACGGCCCAGACUCCUACGGGAGGCAGCAGUAGGGAAUCUUCGGCAAUGGACGGAAGUCUGACCGAGCAACGCCGCGUGAGUGAAGAAGGUUUUCGGAUCGUAAAGCUCUGUUGUUAGAGAAGAACGUUGGUAGGAGUGGAAAAUCUACCAAGUGACGGUAACUAACCAGAAAGGGACGGCUAACUACGUGCCAGCAGCCGCGGUAAUACGUAGGUCCCGAGCGUUGUCCGGAUUUAUUGGGCGUAAAGCGAGCGCAGGCGGUUCUUUAAGUCUGAAGUUAAAGGCAGUGGCUUAACCAUUGUACGCUUUGGAAACUGGAGGACUUGAGUGCAGAAGGGGAGAGUGGAAUUCCAUGUGUAGCGGUGAAAUGCGUAGAUAUAUGGAGGAACACCGGUGGCGAAAGCGGCUCUCUGGUCUGUAACUGACGCUGAGGCUCGAAAGCGCGGGGAGCAAACAGG
rnacentral:rRNA from 1 species